CCAAAACCAAGUCUCUCAGGCUAUUUAUUAGGUUUACAAAUACUCCCCCAACUCACACCUUAGCAGAAAGCAGAUCCUCUUCAGCUUUCCUAACUUUUUAGGCUCUUAGUUUAAGCAGCCCAAAUUCUUUUUUUUCUUUUUUAUUUUGACAGCACCAACCCAUGAUCUUAUUGAAGAACAAAAAGUACACAUAAAUACCAGAGAUAUGAGAAUGAAACAACACCAGAAAUCGAUGCUUCAGCUCAGCCACUCCUGAAAUCAGAACCAAGUAGUUCUUCAGAUGAAAAUUUGUCAAAGAGAGUUCAAAUUUUCAAGAAAAUCCCAAACUUUCAUGAUGUCAAGAGCUUACUAGGAAGCAGCAAAAUAUUCUCACAGGUCGCAGUUAUGGUGUUAUUCCAUAGCCUCGCUGAAGGUGGUCUACAUGCCUCAUUAAUGGUAUAAAUAAUAUCAACUGAAAGUUUUUCAGAAGUCUUAAAGUUACUAUAUUCUCUAACCGCUCAUACAGAAAUUUGUCAAACUCUGCAGCUAGUUUUGAUGACCAUGCUGCUUUCAGUAACAGGGGAGGAGUUGUUGCUAAGAAUUGGGCUCUUAGUGGACAGUACGAAUGUAAAUCAGGGACAUUGCUCAGUGCCCAAUAGUCUCAAUAUAGUCUUCUGAUAUUCUCUAAUUUUAAUUCUCAUUUUUGUCAUUAAAAAUCAUUGGUGUACGUCGGCAAGUAACCC